UACGUAGGGUGCGAGCGUUGUCCGGAAUUAUUGGGCGUAAAGGGCUCGUAGGCGGUCUGUCGCGUCUGUUGUGAAAACUCGAGGCUCAACCUCGGGCUUGCAGUGGAUACGGGCAGACUAGAGUGCGGUAGGGGAGACUGGAAUUCCUGGUGUAGCGGUGGAAUGCGCAGAUAUCAGGAGGAACACCGAUGGCGAAGGCAGGUCUCUGGGCCGCAACUGACGCUGAGAAGCGAAAGCAUGGGGAGCGAACAGG
rnacentral:rRNA from 1 species